GGGGCAGUCGCAAGCCAGGUGCCACUGGGCUGGGCUCACAGGAGGAGAGGGAGAUGGGCCUCUUCCCAGCCCUGCCAGCUGGGAGGUUGCCCACAGAGUGUCCCUACUUACAGAGGAUGGGCUGCAUCCGCAGGAUGGUGGGGACCUCGGCCCUCCAGAUCCCAGCAGAUGGUGUGUGGGAGGAGACUGUUGCCAUUGGCUACACAGAGCCCCCACGGGGACACUGAGGCUGAGAAGUACAUUGGGCUGAAGGAGCCUAGGGAACCAGUUUAGGAUCAGGCACUCCUAAUGAGUGGGCUGAGCCCCCUGGGCCACAUAACCCCACUGCCUGCUGGCCAGACUGUGUGAGUGUUCAGAAACACUGGUCAGUGCCACAGAUCAGCCGUCAUCACCGAGCACCAGGAAUGAGCAGCCAUGCUAAACUCUCCCUAGGGCACUGGAUAAUCAACUGUGGUGUCAGCUGAGCCUGUUCAUUAGAUGAAGACCCCAAGGCUGGCAUGUGGUGCACUGGGAGCAAGCCCAGCCCUGUCUACCCAGCCCUGUCCCCAGGAAGUGCUCUGCGUCCUGCUCAACUCUGACUUCCUGCUGAGCCCUAUCAUGGUACAGAGAAACUCACUCCAAGCGUAAAUGUUGGAGGCAUCCCAGAUGGUCUCCCACCAUCUCCCUGCUCAGUAUGGCCACAUACCCCUGGAUCUGCCCUGGAGAUCCACGCCUCUCUGUCCACCCUCCUGCCACCUGUGGAUGACACAGCUGUAUCCUUGGUGGCUCUUGGCCUUCAGUCCAGGCCUCCACAUGGCCGUAAGAGUGACUUGGUUAGGACAAACAUCACACCGUAUCAUCCUGGCUAACACCCCCAUGGCACUAAGAAUAGCACUCCAGUCCCCAUCUGGCCUUCCCAUACCACAUCAACACCCUGCCCACCCAACAGGCUCCCUUUGCCCAUGGCACUGCAACUCCAGGCCACCUCUGCCCCAUUGCCAGGGCAGGACCUCUGCCAGGCUCUCUCCGCACUCCCCUGCUUUGUCUGGUUUCACAUGGUUUGGCUUGUGGUACCUGCCAGAUAACUGGUCUCCAGUGGCACACUAUAGAGACCCUACCUGAACAGAGCUCAGCUCCCCUGGGCUCCUGCUCAGCCCCUGCUGGUCCGUGACGCCCUGCUCAGUCCCUUUAAGGUGUUUUCAUACCUAAUGCCCUGUUUGACAGACUGUUAAGAUCAAACCUGUCUUGUUGCCUAGUGUGUCU
rnacentral:lncRNA from 1 species